rnacentral:rRNA from 1 species
UACGUAGGGUGCAAGCGUUGUCCGGAUUUAUUGGGCGUAAAGAGCUCGUAGGCGGUCUGUCGCGUCGGAUGUGAAAACCCAGGGCUCAACCCUGGGCCUGCAUUCGAUACGGGCAGACUAGAGUGUGGCAGGGGAGACUGGAAUUCCUGGUGUAGCGGUGAAAUGCGCAGAUAUCAGGAGGAACACCGGUGGCGAAGGCGGGUCUCUGGGCCAAUACUGACCCUGAGGAGCGAAAGCGUGGGGAGCGAACAGG